GGGCGAUUAGCUCAGCCGGCUAGAGCGCUUGCCUUACAAGCAAGAGGUCGCUGGUUCGAGUCCAGCAUCGCCCA
rnacentral:tRNA from 1 species